rnacentral:rRNA from 1 species
GACGUAGGGCGCGAGCGUUGUCCGGAUUUAUUGGGCGUAAAGAGCUCGUAGGCGGCUUGUCGCGUCGUCCGUGAAAACCUGCGGCUCAACUGCAGGCUGGCGGUCGAUACGGGCAGGCUGGAGUUCGGUAGGGGAGACUGGAAUUCCUGGUGUAGCGGUGAAAUGCGCAGAUAUCAGGAGGAACACCGGUGGCGAAGGCGGGUCUCUGGGCCGUAACUCG